AUUGAACGCUGGCGGCAUGCCUUACACAUGCAAGUCGAACGGCAGCACGGACUUCGGUCUGGUGGCGAGUGGCGAACGGGUGAGUAAUGUAUCGGAACGUACCAUUGAGUGGGGGAUAACUAUCCGAAAGGAUAGCUAAUACCGCAUAUUCUCUCCGGAGGAAAGCAGGGGACCGCAAGGCCCUGCGCUCAUUGAGCGGCCGAUAUCAGAUUAGCUAGUUGGUGAGGUAAAGGCUCACCAAGGGGACGAUCUGUAGCGGGUCUGAGGGGAUGGUCAGCCACACUGGAACGGAGACACGGUCAGACUCCUACGGGAGGCAGCAGUGGGGAAUUUUGGACAAUGGGGGCAACCCUGAUCCAGCCAUGCCGCGUGAGUGAAGAAGGCCUUCGGGUUGUAAAGCUCUUUCGGCCGGGAAGAAAUCGCAUGGGCUAAUACCCUGUGUGGAUGAUGGUACCGGAAUAAGAAGCACCGGCUAACUACGUGCCAGCCGCCGCCGUAA
rnacentral:rRNA from 1 species